UUACAGUGAAGAGUUUGAUCCUGGCUCAGGAUGAACGCUAGCUACAGGCUUAACACAUGCAAGUCGAGGGGCAGCAUAUUGGUAGCUUGCUACUAAUGAUGGCGACCGGCGCACGGGUGAGUAACGCGUAUCCAACCUUCCCUAUACUAGAGGAUAGCCCGGCGAAAGUCGGAUUAAUACUCUAUGUUAUUCAAUGCGGACAUCUAAGUUGAAUCAAAGAUUUAUCGGUAUAGGAUGGGGAUGCGUCUGAUUAGGUUGUUGGCGGGGUAACGG
rnacentral:rRNA from 1 species